rnacentral:misc_RNA from 1 species
GGUAACUCCCUGUCCAAUCACCAAACUUGCUUCUUUAAGCUGAAUUCUAGAUUAUAUUAGUGAUUUAAUACAUCUUUAUUGUUCUCCAUUUAAACAUUCAUUCAAUAUGGGAAGUGUAGAUUUUCUACAAUGCAACAUAUUAAAAUAUGUGAUAUUGUGAACUUAAUCAAUUUCGUUCUCUUUUGAUUUUCUUAGAUCAAUAUAUACAGACUCAGCAUCCUUGAUAUUUGCUUUUCAUACAUAUUAAAUUCAUGAUGUUUUCUUUGCA